UUUUGGACAAUGGGCGCAAGCCUGAUCCAGCCAUUCCGCGUGCAGGAAGAAGGCCUUCGGGUUGUAAAGUGCUUUUGUAAGGAACGCAACGGUCCUGGUUAAUACCUGGGGCUAAUGACGGUACCGUAAGAAUAAGCACCGGCUAACUACGUGCCAGCAGCCGCGGUAAUACGUAGGGUGCGAGCGUUAAUCGGAAUUACUGGGCGUAAAGCGUGCGCAGGCGGUUUUGUAAGUCAGGCGUGAAAUCCCCGGGCUCAACCUGGGAAUGGCGUUUGUGACUGCAAAGCUGGAGUGCGGCAGAGGGGGAUGGAAUUCCGCGUGUAGCAGUGAAAUGCGUAGAUAUGCGGAGGAACACCGAUGGCGAAGGCAAUCCCCCUGGGCAUGCACUGACGCUCAUGCACGAAG
rnacentral:rRNA from 1 species